UCUGAUGUUAGCGGCGGACGGGUGAGUAACACGUGGAUAACCUACCUAUAAGACUGGGAUAACUUCGGGAAACCGGAGCUAAUACCGGAUAAUAUUUUGAACCGCAUGGUUCAAAAGUGAAAGACGGUCUUGCUGUCACUUAUAGAUGGAUCCGCGCUGCAUUAGCUAGUUGGUAAGGUAACGGCUUACCAAGGCAACGAUGCAUAGCCGACCUGAGAGGGUGAUCGGCCACACUGGAACUGAGACACGGUCCAGACUCCUACGGGAGGCAGCAGUAGGGAAUCUUCCGCAAUGGGCGAAAGCCUGACGGAGCAACGCCGCGUGAGUGAUGAAGGUCUUCGGAUCGUAAAACUCUGUUAUUAGGGAAGAACAUAUGUGUAAGUAACUGUGCACAUCUUGACGGUACCUAAUCAGAAAGCCACGGCUAACUACGUGCCAGCAGCCGCGGUAAUACGUAGGUGGCAAGCGUUAUCCGGAAUUAUUGGGCGUAAAGCGCGCGUAGGCGGUUUUUUAAGUCUGAUGUGAAAGCCCACGGCUCAACCGUGGAGGGUCAUUGGAAACUGGAAAACUUGAGUGCAGAAGAGGAAAGUGGAAUUCCAUGUGUAGCGGUGAAAUGCGCAGAGAUAUGGAGGAACACCAGUGGCGAAGGCGACUUUCUGGUCUGUAACUGACGCUGAUGUGCGAAAGCG
rnacentral:rRNA from 1 species